AUCUUGGAAAACCGAUCAACCAUUCCACGAUGAGAUCCAUGGAUAAAUGGGACCACGGAACACUGGGUACGGGAAGUGGAUGUAAUAAUCCACAUGGAAGUUUAUGAGGUACUUUAGAAACGGCAUACACAGAACAGGCCCUACCCCUUUUUUGGAUGCAUCAACCUCCAGUAUGAAAGGUUUGCUUGUGUCGGGUGUCUUAAUAUGUCAG